UUGGGGGGCCUACGGGAGGCAGCAGUGGGGAAUAUUGCACAAUGGGCGAAAGCCUGAUGCAGCGACGCCGCGUGAGGGAUGACGGCCUUCGGGUUGUAAACCUCUUUCAGCAGGGAAGAAGCGAAAGUGACGGUACCUGCAGAAGAAGCGCCGGCUAACUACGUGCCAGCAGCCGCGGUAAUACGUAGGGCGCAAGCGUUGUCCGGAAUUAUUGGGCGUAAAGAGCUCGUAGGCGGCUUGUCACGUCGGUUGUGAAAGCCCGGGGCUUAACCCCGGGUCUGCAGUCGAUACGGGCAGGCUAGAGUUCGGUAGGGGAGAUCGGAAUUCCUGGUGUAGCGGUGAAAUGCGCAGAUAUCAGGAGGAACACCGGUGGCGAAGGCGGAUCUCUGGGCCGAUACUGACGCUGAGGAGCGAAAGCGUGGGGAGCGAACAGGAUUAGAUACCCUGGUAGUCCACGCCGUAAACGGUGGGCACUAGGUGUGGGCAACAUUCCACGUUGUCCGUGCCGCAGCUAACGCAUUAAGUGCCCCUGCCUGGC
rnacentral:rRNA from 1 species